rnacentral:rRNA from 1 species
AGAGUUUGAUCCUGGCUCAGAUUGAACGCUGGCGGCAUGCCUUACACAUGCAAGUCGAACGGCAGCACGGGAGCAAUCCUGGUGGCGAGUGGCGAACGGGUGAGUAAUAUAUCGGAACGUGCCCAGUCGUGGGGGAUAACGUAGCGAAAGCUACGCUAAUACCGCAUACGAUCUAUGGAUGAAAGCGGGGGAUCGCAAGACCUCGCGCGAUUGGAGCGGCCGAUAUCAGAUUAGCUAGUUGGUGGGGUAAAGGCCCACCAAGGCGACGAUCUGUAGCUGGUCUGAGAGGACGACCAGCCACACUGGAACUGAGACACGGUCCAGACUCCUACGGGAGGCAGCAGUGGGGAAUUUUGGACAAUGGGCGCAAGCCUGAUCCAGCAAUGCCGCGUGCAGGACGAAGGCCUUCGGGUUUAAACUGCUUUUGUACGGAACGAAAAGGUCUGCCCUAAUACGGC